GCCAGCAUGGUGUAGUGGUUUCAGGGUUAGACUACAACUUUGCAGAUCAGGGUUCAAUUCCUUGUUCAGCCA